rnacentral:tRNA from 1 species
GGGGAUGUGGCACAGUGGUAGAGCACUGGCCUCCUAUGUUAGCAGCCCCAGGCUCCAUUCCCA